GAGCUAGACCGCUCACUGGCCGCUGAGAGGCGGUAAAUAGGAGCUGACCAGUGUUGCCAAGUCCGCUUAUUAUAAGCGACUUUGGGCUUGUUUUUUUGUAAAGUCGCUUGCAAAUCUCGUCAGUCGCGGGUUGCGGGUUGUUGGGCUUGUUUUCUAAAGUGUAGUCGCUUAUUUGGGCUUGCUUUGCUGCCUGCAUAAACCGCUCCUGAUUCUCUCCCAGUUCUCCACAACAAAGCGAAACACGAUAGUUUAUCCUUUUCCAGGAUCCGUCCACUCCUCCGUUUCUCAGUUACCGCCCCCACCCACACAUGCAGAGCAACACCUGUGGAUGUUUGUAGGAGCGAUGUAGAGAAGACCCGACGCCAGGUACAGCGAAUAGACCUCAGACCUCGGUGUCUGUGUCUCUGUGUGCCCACCUGCCCGGUCCUGUCGCGGGUUGCCUGGUGACAGACGCUGCUACAGACGCUGCUGCAGCCGCGCGUUUAAAAAUGCCUCCAGCCAAAACUCCACCACGUUCAAAGAAGCAAAAACAUUUGCAAAAGUACAGACGUGAGUGGGAAGACUCGAACUCCUGGCUUGACAGCGUUAGUGGCAAUAGGUACAAGCCAAACUGUGGUUUCUGUUGCUCAUAGACAAGCUGAAGUAAGGCAGCAUCAGGAGACCAACAUGUAAGAAACAUGUGAACAGAGAGAACCCAACCAGCAGGUCACAGUUUAUCAUCCCAAAUCAUCUCCUGAAGUCCAUAUGAGCUGGCUGCUUGUUUCUAUCGCGAGAUCUGGCAACACUGGAGCUGACUUCCGGUAGUGGCAAGACGGGGAUUUCACAUUGGAACGCCAGCACGGUGGGUGUGGCUAAUAUCUGACCAUGGUGAAGUCGUGUGCUGCCAUCUCCUGCACCAGUCGAUUUGUAAUAUUUCCUUUCAUAAGUUUCCCAAGCAGUCCAAGGACAGCACACUGAGAGAUCAAUGGAUACAGGCCAUCAGUAGAGAAGCGGUGGGGACCAAGAGGAGAUGAUCAUAAUUAUGUCUGCAGCAACCAUUUCAGGGAGGAGGACUUCAUCCUCUCAAAACAUGCGCAACACAAGCUUCUCAGGCCAGGGGCUGUACCAUCCCUCAAUCUGGGGAAACCAGAGAAAAAGAUGGCAGUGAGGACAACCCAAAGCAGCCAGGCAGCAGUGGCAUUAUACCAGCACAUGGACAUGGAGCCUGAACAAGAGUCUGAAGAGGACAGUGCUGCUGUUAGUGAACACCAUGCAUACUGUACAGACACUGACACCCUGAAGAGGAAAUAUGACGAUCUAAGUGUACAGCAUGAAAAGCUAAGGCAGGACUUCAACAAUGCCAAACGUAGAGAGAAGCGCUGCAGAGUGACGUUGGAGGCCAUGUUAGCUAAAACCAAGGAAAUACAAGCUCUGUCUGAUGAUGCUCAUUCCAUGCUUGAUGCAUAUAAAGGUAUUCCUUGUUUAGAAGUACAUAUGAGUCACAUCCAGCAUAUGUAAAUAUAAUUAUGUAACUGCACAUUGCUCACCCACACAGUGCUCUAGAACUGAGAUCAAUGUUUGUUAAUGCUUCAUGAGAUGAUGACUGGUUCACAGAUAACUGUACUUUUGCCUUCCACAACAUUAUCUAAACAGUUUUGCGGCUGUGAUACCCAACAUUCAUAUGGAAACUAUCUAAGCUAUUAACUAAGUUUGAUCACACUUAAUUUUCAAUUACAGGUAAAUUGAUGAUGAUAGACCCUGUUUCUUUACCAGAAUAAUGUCAUUUGUUGCAAUUAGUGUUUGACAUGCUUUUAUUUUUUCUAUUUCUUGUCUUCUUUUGGCUGUUUUACUCAAUCAGUUUUAAUUAUUCUAGAAAUGAGUGUCCAUUGUAUUCAGUGAACCUUUUCUGAUUAAAGUGACUUCAUUUUUUAUUACACUACUUACUUUAUUUUUUACAUUUUACUCUGAAAAACCUCUGUGUAUGUUAAGGUACUACAUAAAUACUGUUGCUUGA